rnacentral:rRNA from 1 species
UACGGAGGGGGCGAGCGUUGUCCGAAUUCAUUGGGCGUAAAGCGCGUGUAGGCGGACCGUAAAGCCUGGGGUGAAAGCCCGGAGCUCAACUCCGGAACGGCCCUGGGGACUUAUGGUCUGGAGGCAGGCAGAGGAGAGUGGAAUUCCUGGUGUAGCGGUGGAAUGCGUAGAGAUCAGGAAGAACACCCAUGGCGAAGGCAGCUCUCUGGGCCUGUACUGACGCUGAGACGCGAAAGCGUGGGGAGCGAACGGG